AGAGAAUCCCAACAAGUUCCUGUUUCCUCAGCAGAUGCCCCAAGUAAGACCAAAAUAGAUGUGACUCAAGCAUGAAGAAAAGUUCUUUCUGUCUGAAGUAAAAGUCUAAGUUCAUCUCCUGAAGCAUCCCGUUAUCAACAGCACCAGCAGAGAACACCUGGAUAACUGAGUUGAUGUCCUAUUCAUCAUUUUCUAAACACCUAUGUAUUCAUCUGGAUGUAUAUAUGAGAUAUCAUAUAUAUGUUAUAUUGUCUUCUCUUAAAUAUUUAAUUACAGAAGUAGUCUUUAUUCGUAACCACUUAACUGACUCACCAGAUUUGCCAAAUAUUUAUUUCCCCAAAAAACAAUUCUCUAAUGUCCACAAUAAUGGACUGUUUAAGCUCCUACUGUCUAAUCUUUAUAAAUCAUGAGUCAGUGGUACUUGUUCCCAAACUUGUUUAUACCUAUUGUAUUUGUUAUUGUAUUGUAUUAUAUUUUUAUGAUUCUCCCUUCGACUUUUAAAAAAAUUAUCGAAUAACUGUCAGACCAAAAAUAUGUAGGUUAAGAGAG